AGGAAAGAUAAAGUCCCAGAGAGCUGGCUAGAGUCCAGUGAAGAUGGAACCUUAGGGUGAUGGAGUUAUUCUGAAUUAGAUGUGGAGUAUUGGUUUGCUGUCACUCCUGAAAUCGAGUCAGAGGCGAAAGGCUUCAUGCCUGGCAUACUGGACUAAAUAACACUCUCUGCCUCCUUCACACUUAGUCUAAGUAAAUCGCCACAUUUCCCAACAAGGCCUCUGAAGAUGAUUUUUAGUCUGUCUGCAUUGUCUAAAGAAGCGAGUCUCUAAUGAGAGCCUGACUAUGGAGGGGGGAAGACUAUUUCAGUUGUCUCAAGGUCCUGAGAAUAUACUGCCCGGUGACCUGUUUGGACAUUUAUGGUCCUGGAGCUGAGGAAAGCCUAUGGGCAAGCAUUGAGCUGCAGGAAGAUUCCCUAUGACUGCACAGAACAGAAAAGUGGGGCGGAGAGCGCGUCCCAGGGCUUAAAUAUGAACACUUCAAUUAACAUGUUCCAGCUGAGUAACAAGAGACCACAAAAAGAAAACUAUUUAAAAUCACAGGGUGGUUACGUUGCAUUCACUGUAAAUCUGUCUCAACCCAGGAAGUGCUAAUGUGAAGGGCCACAAUGACAGUGAGCUCUAUGGGGUGACUCUUAAAUGAAGGAAGGCACCUUGCAAGCAUGACACCUCCACAGCAUAUUGCAGAGGCUCACAUACAUUAAAACACAGAGUGAAGGUAGAUAGCAUGUUUGGUAACUUAUUCUGCAGAAAACGAUGUAUCUCUCUGGAGCAGAGUCCCAGGGAGACUCUGG